rnacentral:rRNA from 1 species
CACGUAGGGUGCGAGCGUUGUCCGGAAUUAUUGGGCGUAAAGAGCUCGUAGGCGGUGUGUCGCGUCGGCCGUGAAAACCUGCAGCUUAACUGUGGGCUUGCGGUCGAUACGGCAUCACUGGAGUUCGGCAGGGGAGACUGGAAUUCCUGGUGUAGCGGUGAAAUGCGCAGAUAUCAGGAGGAACACCGGUGGCGAAGGCGGGUCUCUGGGCCGAUACUGACGCUGAGGAGCGAAAGCGUGGGGAGCGAACAGG